rnacentral:rRNA from 1 species
AGCAGUCGCCGCGGGAAUACGUAGGGUGCGAGCGUUAAUCGGAAUUACUGGGCGUAAAGCGUGCGCAGGCGGUUGUGUAAGACAGGUGUGAAAUCCCCGGGCUUAACCUGGGAACUGCGCUUGUGACUGCACAGCUAGAGUAUGGCAGAGGGGGGUGGAAUUCCACGUGUAGCAGUGAAAUGCGUAGAGAUGUGGAGGAACACCGAUGGCGAAGGCAGCCCCCUGGGCCAAUACUGACGCUCAUGCACGAAAGCGUGGGGAGCAAACAGGAUUAGAUACCCCUGUAGUCCCUGUCUCUUAUAC